rnacentral:rRNA from 1 species
GAUGAACGCUGGCGGCGUGCCUAACACAUGCAAGUCGAGCGGAGACCUGCGAAGUAGCAAUACGGAGCGGAUCUUAGCGGCGGACGGGUGAGUAACACGUGAGCAAUCUGCCUUUAGCUGGGGAAUAACAUUGUGAAAACAGUGCUAAUACCGCAUGACAUCCGACCGGGACAUCCCGGACGGAUCAAAGGAGCAAUCCGGCCAAAGAUGAGCUCGCGUCCGAUUAGCUAGUUGGUGAGGUAAAGGCCCACCAAGGCGACGAUCGGUAGCCGAACUGAGAGGUUGAUCGGCCACAUUGGGACUGAGACACGGCCCAGACUCCUACGGGAGGCAGCAGUGGGGAAUAUUGGGCAAUGGGCGCAAGCCUGACCCAGCAACGCCGCGUGAAGGAUGAAGGCCUUCGGGUUGUAAACUUCUUUGAUCAGGGACGAAAAGAAUGACGGUACCUGAGGAACAAGCCACGGCUAACUACGUG